GCUGAUCCUUGCUGCCUAUGUGUGAUGUUACUGGGUUCAGAGCUGAUCUGAAGUGCUGGUUCCUGACAACAACAAUUAAUGCCUAAUUAGUUUAGAUAUGUAACACAGUGGCAUUGAAAUGAUUGUAGGGGGAGGUUUUGCAAUUUUUCUAACUGAUUUAACUGAAUGAUUUGAAUGAUUUUUUUUUUUUCCUAGAAUUUCAUGGGGUGUCUCCUUAGUCACUUCAAAUAGCAGUGACAGUUCGCUUUCCAUGUUCCUUCGUGAGUUAAAUCCAGCUUCACUCAGACAAAGACUUCCCUGAAACUCAGACUCAAUGAGGUCAGAAUAACUAUUUAAUGAAUGCUAUGAGGAAACAUGGUCUCAUGCUACAUACAACAUGGAGACACCAGCUACAAUGACCUCGACAUGGCCUGAAGCCUGCUGUUUUGGAAGGGGAAAUCCAUGCAUCUGACUUCAGUUUCUUCCUUUGCUUUUGUUGCAUCUUCUUGCACUUGAGCACAGCCAGCUGCUCCAGAAUUUUGAAGACUCCAAAGCCCUUCUGUCUUUUGAACUAAAAUCCUCCCUUCUCCAUUUACGCUGUGAGUCACCAUCCUCUCCCAAUUGAGGACUUGUAAAAAGCUAAUGGU
rnacentral:lncRNA from 1 species